rnacentral:rRNA from 1 species
UACGAAGGGAGCUAGCGUUGUUCGGAAUCACUGGGCGUAAAGCGCACGUAGGCGGAUGUGUCAGUCAGGGGUGAAAUCCCGGAGCUCAACUUCGGAACUGCCUUUGAUACAGCACGUCUUGAGUCCGAUAGAGGUGGGUGGAAUUCCUAGUGUAGAGGUGAAAUUCGUAGAUAUUCGGAAGAACACCAGUGGCGAAGGCGGCUCACUGGACGACUGUUGACGCUGAGGUGCGAAAGCGUGGGGAGCAAACAGG